GGCAGGUCCCAGUGCAGUGGUGUUUACAACUAAUUAAUCACAACCAGUUACAGAUUUCCUUGUUUCUUCUCCACUCCCACUGCUUCACUGGACAAGCUUAAA
ensembl:misc_RNA Y_RNA Y RNA